CAAAAGUUUGGAGGCACCGCCGGGAUACGCCUGAGAGUUCGUCCGGCCUACGGAGAAUCGGACGAGGCUGAUCACCGGACCUCCGACCCUCCAACUAGGACGUUUUGGGAGCGGGAGGACGUCUGGUUCUCCGGGGGGGGGAUCGACUCCAGCCGUAUUCGAAAACAGGAAACCAGAGACACAUCUACGAUAAGGUAAAUAAAUAAAUAAAAUAAAAAUAAAAAAAAUAAAAAAAAAAGCGCUAGCGACAGACACGACUCCGUCAAAAAGAUCGCUCUCUCAUAAAAUAAGUAAGCUUUCAUUAGGAAAAGCCGAGGUAAGUUCUCAUUAGGAGGACCGAGUGUAAGUUCUGAAAAUUAGAGUAGGAACCGAGGGUAAGUUUUCUCUAGGAAAACCGAGUGUAGGCUCGUCUUGAUAAAGAGGGCUGAGGAAAUAAAAUAGUUUCGUCUUAAAGAUAAAAAUGGGAGCGACAAAAAGUAAGAAUCUAGAUUAUAUACCAAACGGUUCGGUUGCAGAAAAAAUGAAACGCUUAUACGGAGUUUCCUGUCUAAGUUUCGUUUCUCAGUGGCAUUACAAAUUUGGUUUUCCUAAAAAUGGAUCUUUAGAAACCCAAGACAUUCAAAAACUCGAAGAACAAUUAUUGCAGCAAAAGCAGAGCAUGAUUCAGAUGAAGAAUAUACCUCAAAAGGUUUACUUAACGAUGCA